AGAGUUUGAUCCUGGCUCAGAACGAACGCUGGCGGCAUGCCUAACACAUGCAAGUCGAACGAGGGCUUCGGCCCUAGUGGCGCACGGGUGAGUAACGCGUGGGAACCUGCCCUGUGGUACGGAAUAACUCCGGGAAACUGGAGCUAAUACCGUAUGUGUCUUGAGGGACAAAGAUUUAUCGCCAUGGGAUGGGCCCGCGUAGGAUUAGCUUGUUGGUGGGGUAACGGCCUACCAAGGCAACGAUCCUUAGCUGGUCUGAGAGGAUGAUCAGCCACACUGGGACUGAGACACGGCCCAGACUCCUACGGGAGGCAGCAGUGGGGAAUAUUGGACAAUGGGCGCAAGCCUGAUCCAGCAAUGCCGCGUGAGUGAUGAAGGCCUUCGGGUUGUAAAGCUCUUUCGCACGCGACGAUGAUGACGGUAGCGUGAGAAGAAGCCCCGGCUAACUUCGUG
rnacentral:rRNA from 1 species